rnacentral:rRNA from 1 species
CCCUUAGAUGUUCUGGGCCGCACGCGUGCUACACUGAGUGGAUCAGCGGGUCAGGUUGCGCGAAAGCGUUUCCUAAUCUUUAAAUCCGCUCGUGAUGGGGAUUGACGGUUGCAAUUUUCUGUCAUGAACGAGGAAUACCUUGUAAGCGCGGGUCAUCAUCCCGCGCUGAAUACGUCCCUGCCCUUUGUACACACCGCCCGUCGCUCCUACCGAUUGGGUGAGCCGAUGAAACUCUCGGAUGUAGGCUAUUCAUAGCCCGCAGAAGAGAUUUGAAUCGUAGCGCUUAGGGGAAGGAGAAGUCGUAACA